UGCACCGGUGAUUAGUGGCGAACGGGUGAGUAACACGUGAGUAACCUGCCCUUAACUCUGGGAUAAGCCUGGGAAACUGGGUCUAAUACCGGAUAUGACUCCUCAUCGCAUGGUGGGGGGUGGAAAGCUUUUUUGUGGUUUUGGAUGGACUCGCGGCCUAUCAGCUUGUUGGUGAGGUAAUGGCUCACCAAGGCGACGACGGGUAGCCGGCCUGAGAGGGUGACCGGCCACACUGGGACUGAGACACGGCCCAGACUCCUACGGGAGGCAGCAGUGGGGAAUAUUGCACAAUGGGCGCAAGCCUGAUGCAGCGACGCCGCGUGAGGGAUGACGGCCUUCGGGUUGUAAACCUCUUUCAGUAGGGAAGAAGCGAAAGUGACGGUACCUGCAGAAGAAGCGCCGGCUAACUACGUGCCAGCAGCCGCGGUAAUACGUAGGGCGCAAGCGUUAUCCGGAAUUAUUGGGCGUAAAGAGCUCGUAGGCGGUUUGUCGCGUCUGCCGUGAAAGUCCGGGGCUCAACUCCGGAUCUGCGGUGGGUACGGGCAGACUAGAGUGAUGUAGGGGAGACUGGAAUUCCUGGUGUAGCGGUGAAAUGCGCAGAUAUCAGGAGGAACACCGAUGGCGAAGGCAGGUCUCUGGGCAUUAACUGACGCUGAGGAGCGAAAGCAUGGGGAGCGAACAGGAUUAGAUACCCUGGUAGUCCAUGCCGUAAACGUUGGGCACUAGGUGUGGGGGACAUUCCACGUUUUCCGCGCCGUAGCUAACGCAUUAAGUGCCCCGCCUGGGGAGUACGGCCGCAA
rnacentral:rRNA from 1 species